rnacentral:misc_RNA from 1 species
AGUUCACGGCUUAACAAGAUUAAAGGGACCAAACAUUAGUUCAUCAUUCCUUACUAUGAAUGUAGCACCCUAACAUGGGUAUAUUACAACUAACUUCCACAAAUCAAUGACUUAGAGCAGUUUAUUACAAAAUUAAGCUAGCCAAAUGACUAACUUUAACAGGCAUAUUCACCACCAAAUUAGACAAAUGAAAGCAAUUUCAUAUUAGAA